rnacentral:rRNA from 1 species
GAUGAACGCUGGCGGCGUGCCUAAUACAUGCAAGUCGAGCGAACAGACGAGGAGCUUGCUCCUCUGACGUUAGCGGCGGACGGGUGAGUAACACGUGGAUAACCUACCUAUAAGACUGGGAUAACUUCGGGAAACCGGAGCUAAUACCGGAUAAUAUAUUGAACCGCAUGGUUCAAUAGUGAAAGACGGUUUUGCUGUCACUUAUAGAUGGACCCGCGCCGCAUUAGCUAGUUGGUAAGGUAACGGCUUACCAAGGCAACGAUGCGUAGCCGACCUGAGAGGGUGAUCGGCCACACUGGAACUGAGACACGGUCCAGACUCCUACGGGAGGCAGCAGUAGGGAAUCUUCCGCAAUGGGCGAAAGCCUGACGGAGCAACGCCGCGUGAGUGAUGAAGGUCUUCGGAUCGUAAAACUCUGUUAUUAGGGAAGAACAAAUGUGUAAGUAACUAUGCACGUCUUGACGGUACCUAAUCAGAAAGCCACGGCUAACUACGU